CGGGACCCAGAUUGAUACAACAGCGAUGCAUGGUGUCAACCCAUAUAUGACAUUAUAAAUAUCAGUCUGGUUGGAAGCAUGGGAAAUCCGAGAAGUACCAUCAAAAUCGUGACGUGAUCGUGUCAAUCCUGGGCUACGAGGAUAAUAAGUAUCUGAGAUCUGUGUAUGCAGAGGAUUACUGCGGAUUUGAUGGAUUACGGCGUAUUAUUAUUUUUUCUUUUAAUAAAAUGCUUAACGAGG